rnacentral:rRNA from 1 species
AACGAACGCUGGCGGCAGGCUUAACACAUGCAAGUCGAGCGCCCCGCAAGGGGAGCGGCAGACGGGUGAGUAACACGUGGGAAUCUACCCAUCCCUGCGGAACAACUCCGGGAAACUGGAGCUAAUACCGCAUACGCCCUACGGGGGAAAGAUUUAUCGGGGAUGGAUGAGCCCGCGUUGGAUUAGCUAGUUGGUGGGGUAAAGGCCUACCAAGGCGACGAUCCAUAGCUGGUCUGAGAGGAUGAUCAGCCACAUUGGGACUGAGACACGGCCCAAACUCCUACGGGAGGCAGCAGUGGAGAAUAUUGGACAAUGGGCGCAAGCCUGAUCCAGCCAUGCCGCGUGAGUGAUGAAGGCCUUAGGGUUGUAAAGCUCUUUCAACGGUGAAGAUAAUGACGGUAACCGUAGAAGAAGCCCCGGCUAACUUCGUGCCAGCCGCCGCCGUAACAC